AUUGAUCAUAUUCUAUUAUAUAGUUUGUUCAUAUUAUCUGUGGCUCCAGGAUAACAGAAGCUAAUUCAAAGUAGUGGCUGUAUUUUUUUCAUCUUUUUGUCACCAAGCCCUUGCACUGAGGACUGAGUGCAUGAUAUCUCUCAGUGCUUCUCAGAUGAAUGUAAAGAAAGUAACCUUAAGCUGAAGAUAGAUUCAACAGUAUAAUGGAUUGGAUAUGCAGUGUGAGAAAAAAUUGAAAGAUGUGGAGCACUCAUAGAUCUCCUUGGUCUGAGCAAUAGUAAGAAUGGAGACUUAGAAGAACAUGGGAUGAACAGAUAUAAAAGGAACAGAUGUCUCUGAGAGGGAGAAAUCCUAUGAUUGAUGGCUGCACCUGUACUUCCCACUCCCUGAAUUUCCUAACACAUUUACAAAAGGGUCCUCAUUCUUUGAAAACACACAGUUCAGUGUCUACCAAUUUUCAAUGAUUUGAUUAAACAUGUAUCCUGUAGCCAAGUAUGAAGCAGAGACCAGAAUAGCCAAAUGCUUCACUGCCAUGCUCCUGCUUAUGAAUCAGACCGCCUGCAAGUGCCCCAGUUGUGAACCUGAAUGAGAAUUGAUAAAUUGUGCUGGGACAUCUAUAGUGACACUGAAUAAGAACCAGGAUGAUUGCAUAGACUCCAGCCCUAACAUGAUUGAACUAUUAAACCAAUUCCAACAACUGUUUACUUCCAGACAUGUUCUUAUUGGGAAAAUACAUCUUAAUCUGCUGCCUAACGCUAAAAAUACUUCUCCAUUACUUAAAUUUUUAAAGGUUCAAUGUUUCAUCAAGAAAAUGAUUACACUACACUAGACCACUCUCUUUCACCAUACACAAAGAUAAACUCAAAAUGGAUGAAAGAUCUAAAUGUGAGACAAGAUUCCAUCAAAAUCCUAGAGAAGAACACAGGCAACACCCUUUUUGAACUCGGC